rnacentral:rRNA from 1 species
UACAGAGGGGGCAAGCGUUGUUCGGAAUUACUGGGCGUAAAGGGCGCGUAGGCGGCCUGCUAAGUCGAACGUGAAAUCCCCGGGCUCAACCCGGGAACUGCGUCCGAUACUGGCAGGCUUGAAUCCGGGAGAGGGAUGCGGAAUUCCAGGUGUAGCGGUGAAAUGCGUUGAUAUCGUUAGGAACUCCGGUGGCGAAGGCGGCAUGCUGGACCUCUUCUGACGCUGAGGCGCGAAAGCCAGGGGAGCGAACGGG